AACGAACGCUGGCGGCAUGCCUAACACAUGCAAGUCGAACGAAGUCUUCGGACUUAGUGGCGCACGGGUGCGUAACGCGUGGGAAUCUGCCCUUGGGUGCGGAAUAACUUCUCGAAAGGGAUGCUAAUACCGCAUAAUGUCGUAAGACCAAAGAUUUAUCGCCCAAGGAUGAGCCCGCGUAAGAUUAGCUAGUUGGUGGGGUAAAAGCCUACCAAGGCGACGAUCUUUAGCUGGUCUGAGAGGAUGAUCAGCCACACUGGGACUGAGACACGGCCCAGACUCCUACGGGAGGCAGCAGUGGGGAAUAUUGGACAAUGGGGGAAACCCUGAUCCAGCCAUGCCGCGUGUGUGAAGAAGGCCUUCGGGUUUGGUUAAAGGACACUUUAAGUACGAGGAGGAAGG
rnacentral:rRNA from 1 species